rnacentral:rRNA from 1 species
GGGCGUAAAGAGCUCGUAGGUGGUUUGUCGCGUUGUUCGUGAAAUCUCACGGCUUAACUGUGAGCGUGCGGGCGAUACGGGCAGACUUGAGUACUGCAGGGGAGACUGGAAUUCCUGGUGUAGCGGUGGAAUGCGCAGAUAUCAGGAGGAACACCGGUGGCGAAGGCGGGUCUCUGGGCAGUAACUGACGCUGAGGAGCGAAAGCGUGGGGAGCGAACAGGAUUAGAUACCCUGGUAGUCCACGCCGUAAACGGUGGGUACUAGGUGUGGGUUUCCUUCCUUGGGAUCCGUGCCGUAGCUAACGCAUUAAGUACCCCGCCUGGGGAGUACGGCCGCGAGGCUCAAACUCAGAGAAAUUGACGGGGGCCCGCGCAAGCGGCGGAGCAUGUGGAUCAAUUCGAUGCAACGCGAAGAACCGUACCUGGGUUUGACAUGCACAGGACGCCGGCAGAGAUGUCGGUUCCCUUGUGGCCUGUGUGCAGGUGGUGCAUGGCUGUCGUCAGCUCGUGUCGUGAGAUGUUGGGUUAAGUCCCGCAACGAGCGCAACCCUUGUCUCAUGUUGCCAGCGGGUAAUGCCGGGGACUCGUGAGAGACUGCCGGGGUCAACUCGGAGGAAGGUGGGGAUGACGUCAAGUCAUCAUGCCCCUUAUGUCCAGGGCUUCACACAUGCUACAAUGGCCGGUACAAAGGGCUGCGAUGCCGCGAGGUUAAGCGAAUCCUUUUAAAGCCGGUCUCAGUUCGGAUCGGGGUCUGCAACUCGACCCCGUGAAGUCGGAGUCGCUAGUAAUCGCAGAUCGGCAACGCUGCG